ACAUCGCCAUAGAGUAGUUGAAAAACAAGAAGGGGUUCCGAAAGUACAAGUUGUUGCUGUGACUGAAUCGAUGAUUGAGAGGGUCGUCUCGACGAAAGAUAUAGAAAUUUGGCCAUAGUUUAGAUUAGGAAUACGUCAAUGUAAUAAUAGUGGACUAAAUGUUUCGUCCGUGCAGAAUGGCACUUUUUACCUCACGAAAUUCACCACCAUGCAUAGCUGCGCUACGUAAACAAAGUUGUUGAUGUAGCGUGAUCGUGAUGUCCGAGUGCUGCGAGUUUCAAUACUGUUUAUGUAGUCAUUGAGAGUUUAAACAAAGUUUCUUCUGAGAAGAGGAAUUCGAUGGAUGCAUUCAACGUGGACAACGAAAUCAUAAUUUCGUUUGCAUCAUCCUAAGGACCAGUGCAAGUUGAAAUGGGCUUCCAGCCAACAACUUCAACAGCAAUUUGCCAUGAAAAUCAGCAAGAAAGGUACUUCAUUUACAUUGAUGAUGUCAUAUCCCCUGGACCCCACAACUUUACAGGUUACAGAGAAAAUUC